UACGUAGGGUGCGAGCGUUGUCCGGAAUUAUUGGGCGGAAAGAGCUCGUAGGCGGUUUGUUGCGUCUAUCGUGAAAACCUGCAGCUUAACUGUGGGCUUGCGGUGGAUACGGGCAGACUUGAGUUCGGUAGGGGAGACUGGAAUUCCUGGUGUAGCGGUGAAAUGCGCAGAUAUCAGGAGGAACACCGGUGGCGAAGGCGGGUCUCUGGGCCGAUACUGACGCUGAGGAGCGAAAGCCAGGGGAGCAAACGGG
rnacentral:rRNA from 1 species